CACGUAGUUAGCCGGGGCUUCCUCCUUGGGUACCGUCAUGUCGACUCAAUAUUCUCAAAUCGACCGUUCUUCCCAAAAGACAGUACUUUACAAUCCGAAGACCUUCAUCAUACACGCGGCGUUGCUCCGUCAGACUUUCGUCCAUUGCGGAAGAUUCCCCACUGCUGCCUCCCGUAGGAGUCUGGGCCGUGUCUCAGUCCCAGUGUGGCCGUUCACCCUCUCAGGCCGGCUACUGAUCGUCGCCUUGGUAGGCCUUUACCCCACCAACUAGCUAAUCAGACGCGGGUCCAUCCAUAAUCGAUAGCAUAUACAGAGGCCAUCUUUCCUUCAACCUUGAUGCCAAGCUCGAAGAUUAUCCGGUAUUAGCCCUCGUUUCCAAGGGUUGUCCCGGAUUUAUGGGUAGGUUACCCACGCGUUACUCACCCGUCCGCCACUAAGUAAUUUUCUAAGCAAGCUUAUCAAAUUCUCGUUCGACUUGCAUGUGUUAGGCACGCCGCAGCGUUCGUCCUGAGC
rnacentral:rRNA from 1 species